UACGAAGGGGGCUAGCGUUGCUCGGAAUCACUGGGCGUAAAGGGUGCGUAGGCGGGUCUUUAAGUCAGGGGUGAAAUCCUGGAGCUCAACUCCAGAACUGCCUUUGAUACUGAAGAUCUUGAGUCCGGGAGAGGUGAGUGGAACUGCGAGUGUAGAGGUGAAAUUCGUAGAUAUCGGGAGGAACACCAGUGGCGAAGGCGGGCAUCUGGGCCAACACUGACGCUGAUGCGCGAAAGCUAGGGAGCAACAGG
rnacentral:rRNA from 1 species